UCUCUGCAUGCUGGGAGUGUUUGGUGCAUGCUGGGAAUUGUUCGAUCGCGGGAGUGCGUGUGUUUUGUAGAGUUAGAUAUUCAGAACUUUCUUUCGGUUUUCUCUUUCUUGGUGGCAUUCUUUGUUUUCUUCUGUGCGUGAUUUAGAUUGUUAUAAUUUUUAUUGUGUGGUAGAAUUAAGUAUUUUGUUUUUUUCGUAUCGAAAUGACCCUGAUUUUGGCGGGGAUGGCAGGCCGAAUGGGGAUGCCGUCCCUGUCACUUCGGCACGGCUUUAGGUGUGUUACUGAAGCUGCUGUCACGGUGGAGGAGUUUCUGGUCGCCGUAGGAGAGAAGGUUGCUGAAACAUGUUGAUGAGUGUUUUCAGCCUGAUGCCUGCCCCUGCCUCUGGAAGGGGAAAGAGUACUAUCCAGGAGAGAGUCACCUCCCCCUGUCAUCGAUGUGUCUGCCAGCACGGAACGUUCCAGUGUGUGUUCCAUCCGUGUCCGUCCAUGUGCACAGCCUAUGGGGACCGCCACUACAGGACA